GAAUGUGGGGGUGUUCUGGCUGUGACAGCUGUCACCACAUUGAUUGCCAGGGAAGCUUCAGCUGAUCUGGUUGGCUACCUACGUGGGUGUCCCCUUUUGCCCCUCACGCCUCUGGUGAUGACCUCUUUUAGAGGAGGACAGGUCUUCAGGGCAAGAGUACCCCAGUGACUAUGCCUGCCUUCUAGAACCUCCCAGCAAGCUUUCUCAAAGGUAGAACACUUACUGUACAGCCAUAGCACGCUGCAAGCACUGGAUCUCAUCACAAAGCAAUAAACACAUUCAAAGGAUUUUCAAAUGCUUGAGAAAAUACCUUU
rnacentral:snRNA from 1 species